rnacentral:other from 1 species
CCGCUUCUGCUGUGUGCGACAGGGAGUGAUGUUUGAACAGAACCGAUAACGCGAACCCAGGGAGACAAAUGAGCGUGUGACCCGAUCGAUCCGCUUCGUGCCGACCGUUUGGGACAUGCCUACGUCACCCACCUUGAAGCAGGGUUCCGUCAAACUCCUUCCACCGGCAUUUGCGGUAGCGGU